rnacentral:tRNA from 1 species
GGAGGAAUACCCAAGUCCGGCUGAAGGAUCGGUCUUGAAAACCGACAGGAGCUUAACGGCUCGCGGGGGUUCGAAUCCCUCUUCCUCCG